AACGAACGCUGGCGGCAGGCUUAACACAUGCCAGUCGAACGCCCCGCAAGGGGAGUGGCAGACGGGUGAGUAACGCGUGGGAAUCUACCCAUCCCUACGGAAUAACGCAUGGAAACGUGUGCUAAUACCGUAUACGCCCUACGGGGGAAAGAUUUAUCGGGGAUGGAUGAGCCCGCGUUGGAUUAGCUAGUUGGUGGGGUAAAGGCCUACCAAGGCGACGAUCCAUAGCUGGUCUGAGAGGAUGAUCAGCCACAUUGGGACUGAGACACGGCCCAAACUCCUACGGGAGGCAGCAGUGGGGAAUAUUGGACAAUGGGCGCAAGCCUGAUCCAGCCAUGCCGCGUGAGUGAUGAAGGCCUUAGGGUUGUAAAGCUCUUUCACCGGAGAAGAUAAUGACGGUAUCCGGAGAAGAAGCCCCGGCUAACUUCGU
rnacentral:rRNA from 1 species